AUUGAACGCUGGCGGCAUGCUUUACACAUGCAAGUCGAACGGUAACAGGCCGCAAGGUGCUGACGAGUGGCGAACGGGUGAGUAAUGCAUCGGAACGUGCCCAGUCGUGGGGGAUAACGCAGCGAAAGCUGCGCUAAUACCGCAUACGAUCUAUGGAUGAAAGCGGGGACCGUAAGGCCCCGCGCUAUUGGAGCGGCGGAUGUCAGAUUAGGUAGUUGGUGGGGUAAAGGCUCACCAAGCCAACGAUCCGUAGCUGGUCUGAGAGGACGACCAGCCACACUGGGACUGAGACACGGCCCAGACUCCUACGGGAGGCAGCAGUGGGGAAUUUUGGACAAUGGACGCAAGUCUGAUCCAGCCAUGCCGCGUGCGGGAAGAAGGCCUUCGGGUUGUAAACCGCUUUUGUCAGGGAAGAAAUCUUCUGGGUUAAUACCUCGGGAGGAUGACGGUACCUGAAGAAUAAGCACCGGCUAACUACGUGCCAGCAGCCGCCGUAAAAC
rnacentral:rRNA from 1 species